AAUACGUGCUGCGAGGUCGGCGACAGGAGGUGAGGUGUGGGCUGCCCGCGGGUCCUGCGGUCCGGGGUCCGUGCUGUCGCUCUCCCCGCACUGGGAAAAAAACACGGAGCGGGUCGCUUUAACGUGGACGCCAUCCCCCUCGGCGGAGGAAAAAAAAAAAAAAGGCGCACUUCUAUUGAAAAGCAGGGGAGAGACGCAGCUGAACGGUUAUGAAGGCGUAAGAGUGGGAGCCAGUGUUGCAUCGUGA
rnacentral:lncRNA from 1 species